GAUGAACGCUGGCGGCGUGCCUAACACAUGCAAGUCGAACGGAGAUUACGGACGGAAGUUUUCGGAUGGAAGACUGUAAUUCUUAGUGGCGGACGGGUGAGUAACGCGUGGGCAACCUGCCCUAUACAGGGGGAUAGCAGCGGGAAACGGCUGGUAAGACCGCAUAAGUCGGCGAGACCGCAUGGUUUUGCCGGGAAAUGAGCAAUCAGGUAUAGGAUGGGCCCGCGUCCGAUUAGCCAGUUGGCAGGGUAAAAGCCUACCAAAGCAACGAUCGGUAGCCGGUCUGAGAGGUCGGACGGCCACAUUGGGACUGAGACACGGCCCAAACUCCUACGGGAAGCAGCAGUGGGGGAUAUUGCACAAUGGAGGAAACUCUGAUGCAGCGACGCCGCGUGAGUGAAGAAGUAUUUCGGUAUGUAAAGCUCUAUCAGCAGGUAAGAUGAUGACGGUACCUGACUAAGAAGCCCCGGCUAACUACGUG
rnacentral:rRNA from 1 species